CAGUAGGAAUAUGCUCGUCUUAAAGAUUAAGCCAUGCAUGUCUAAGUGUAAACAGUAUUUAUGCAAAGUGAAACUGCGAAUGGCUCAUUAUAUCAGUUAUUGUUUAUUUGAUGAAUGCUUUGCCACAUGGAUAACCGUGGUAAUUCUAUGGCUAAUACAUGCACGCCUGUAGCGGGCAGCCCAACUUCAUCGGAAGGGCAGCGUUUGUUAGCAUGACCGGCCUGGGGGUCCAAUCCCCCCAGUGAUGAUCCGUGACAAUUUAGAGCUGAUCGUAAGGCUUACGCCGACGACGUUUCAUUCAAAUUUCUGCCCUAUCAACCAGAUGGUAGGAUAGAGGCCUACCAUGGUUACGACGGGUAACGGGGAAUUAGGGUUCUGUUCCGGAGAGGGAGCCUGAGAAACGGCUACCACAUCCAAGGAAGGCAGCAGGCGCGCAAAUUACCCAAUCCUAAUACAGGGAGGUAGUGACAAUAUAUAACAAUACAGGGCCGUCAGGUCUUGUAAUUGGAAUGAGUACAAUUUAAACAGCUUAACAAGGAACAAUUGGAGGGCAAGUCUGGUGCCAGCAGCCGCGGUAAUUCCAGCUCCAAUAGCGUAUGCUAACAUUGCUGCAGUUAAAAAGCUCGUAGUCGAACCUGAAGCUGGGGGUGGCGGGGGGCGUUGAAUUAUCCGUCGCUCGGCCAUUGCCAGCACCUGGGCAUGAACGUUUGGUCAGAUGCACAUUCGUGUGUGUGUGGCCGGACGGGCGCGCUGCAGGCAUUACCUUGAGUAAAAUAGAGUGCUCAAACCGAGUACCUGUUAGCCACGUAUACGAUUAGCAUGGAAUAACAGAGAGGGACGGUGGUCCUCUUAGUUGGUCAACCACAGUCAAUGAUUAAUAGGAACAGUUGGGGGCAUUCGUAUUGCUGCGUUAGAGGUGAAAUUCUUGGAUCGCAGCAGGACGGACUAGUGCGAAGGCAUCUGCCAAGGAUGUUUUCGUUGAUCAAGAACGAAAGUUAGGGGAUCAAAGACGAUUAGAUACCGUCGUAGUCUUAACCGUAAACGAUGCCUAUUGGCGGUUGGGCGACAGUCGGCAAGACGCGCCCAGAAGCCAAGUCGAAAGAUUUAAAUAGGGCUCCGGGGGGAGUAUGGUCGCAAGGCUGAAACUUAAAGGAAUUGACGGAAGGGCACCACCAGGAGUGGAGCCUGCGGCUUAAUUUGACUCAACACGGGAAAACUCACCAGGUCCAGACAUGGUAAGGAUUGACAGAUUGAGAGCGCUUUCAUGAUUCUAUGGGUGGUGGUGCAUGGCCGUUCUUAGUUGGUGGUGUGAACUGUCAGGUCAAUUCCGAUAACGAUCGUAACCUUGAUUUCUAGUUAGCAGAGCCCGCGCAAGCGGGGCCGCGCUUCUUAGCAAUGCCCCGGGUGUCUAGCCCGGUUAAUGGAAAGGCAAUAACAGGUCUGUGAUGCCCUUAGAUGUUCUGGGCUGCACGCGCGCUACACUGACAAAGAUAGAGAGUACAGCCUGUGUCGACAGACAUGGGCAAUCUUGGAAACUUUGUCGUGCUGGGGAUAGUCCAUUGCAAGUUGGACUUGAACGAGGAAUUCCUAGUAAGCGCAAGUCACUAGCUUGCGCUGAUUACGUCCCUGCCCUUUGUACACACCGCCCGUCGCUACUACCGAUUGAACAAUAGAGUGAGGCCUUUGGAGUGCGGGUGUGGGGCGGUUCGCCGCCGCCAGCUGCGCGAAGCUGGUCAAACUCUGUUGUUUAGAGGAAGUAAAAGUCGUAACAAGGUUUCCG
rnacentral:rRNA from 1 species